AUACUGAUAUCCUGGAGCAGAGGGAUAACAGGGUGUACGGUGGAAUUUCGGAAGAAACGGUGUGUGGGAUACCACUUACCCACUGGAUGACAGUCAGACGGUCCUGUUUGAUGGUAAUAAAGCUGCACAGAACAAACAAAAACUGUACGGAACAGAAUCUUCCAACACUGGCAGACCAGGUUAGAUCUAUCGGUUAUGGUGGAAUCGCGGAAAUCUAGGUCAUAAACAACGGGUGAAAUCACUUUCACAACGGUAUACGGACCAGAGAACUUCGGAGCCAAUUUGGCUGUAAAACUAUCAACGGCAGACGACAGCGGAUUAGCACGGCGCAGAACUCUAUCACCGACAUGGAAACGAACUUCUCUUCGACGGAGGUUGUAAUGGUGAGCUUGCUGCUCAAAUGCACGGUACAACCUGGUAUUGACAAACUCAUAGGC